rnacentral:rRNA from 1 species
UUAGAGUUUGAUCCUGGCUCAGGAUGAACGCUAGCUACAGGCUUAACACAUGCAAGUCGAGGGGAAACGACAUCGAAAGCUUGCUUUUGAUGGGCGUCGACCGGCGCACGGGUGAGUAACGCGUAUCCAACCUGCCCACCACUUGGGGAUAACCUUGCGAAAGUAAGACUAAUACCCAAUGACGUCUCUAGAAGACAUCUGAAGGAGAUUAAAGAUUUAUCGGUGAUGGAUGGGGAUGCGUCUGAUUAGCUUGUUGGCGGGGUAACGGCCCACCAAGGCGACGAUCAGUAGGGGUUCUGAGAGGAAGGUCCCCCACAUUGGAACUGAGACACGGUCCAAACUCCUACGGGAGGCAGCAGUGAGGAAUAUUGGUCAAUGGACGAGAGUCUGAACCAGCCAAGUAGCGUGCAGGAUGACGGCCCUAUGGGUUGUAAACUGCUUUUAUAAGGGAAUAAAGUGAGUCUCGUGAGACUUUUUGCAUGUACCUUAUGAAUAAGGACCGGCUAAUUCCGUGCCAGCAGCCGCGGUAAUACGGAAGGUCCGGGCGUUAUCCGGAUUUAUUGGGUUUAAAGGGAGCGUAGGCCGGAGAUUAAGCGUGUUGUGAAAUGUAGACGCUCAACGUCUGCACUGCAGCGCGAACUGGUUUCCUUGAGUACGCACAAAGUGGGCGGAAUUCGUGGUGUAGCGGUGAAAUGCUUAGAUAUCACGAAGAACUCCGAUUGCGAAGGCAGCUCACUGGAGCGCAACUGACGCUGAAGCUCGAAAGUGCGGGUAUCGAACAGGAUUAGAUACCCUGGUAGUCCGCACGGUAAACGAUGGAUGCCCGCUGUUGGUCUGAAUAGGUCAGCGGCCAAGCGAAAGCAUUAAGCAUCCCACCUGGGGAGUACGCCGGCAACGGUGAAACUCAAAGGAAUUGACGG